rnacentral:lncRNA from 1 species
CACAUGAGAAGGUAUAUUUAACAAAAGACCUGAAGAAGGUGAGGGAGUUAUUCCUGAGGACUUCUGUGGAAGAGAUUGUUGGGCAGGAGGAACACCAAAUGCUGAUACCCUGAGUGAGCAAGCAGCUUCUUUACAGUGUUUCAGGGAGAGUGACAAAGCCAAAGUGGGUGGAAAGAGGGAACAAAGAUAAAAAGAGGAGAAAAGGAUCUCAGGCAGGUAAUGGAUGCUACAUUUCUUGGAACUUUGCAAGCUUUCAUUCUGACUAAGAAAAGGAGUGACAUAAUCUGACAUAUUUUAGGAUCUGUCUGUAUACUAAUUAAGAAUGGGUGUGGACAGAGACACAGAGGCCGAUUAGGAGACUGUGGCAAUAAUCUAGAUGAGAAGAUGGUUGAACUGGCACUAGGAGUGGUGAGAAGUGGUUGAACUCAGAAUAUGUUUUGAAGGUACAGACAACAGGAUUCUGAAUGUGACAGAAAGGAAGGAGCCAAAAACCGUGCUAAGCUUUUUGACUCUAGCAACCAGAAAACAGAAUUGUCAUUACUGAAAUGAGAACAGAGGAAAGAAUAUUGGUGGGAAGUCAGGUAGUGCUCAGGUUUUAACAUAUUAAUUUUGAAGUGCUUAUCAUUAAACCUCCUACUGAACAUAUGAAGUAGGCAGUUAGAUAUGUUGGUAUGGAAUUCAGAGGAAAGUUAUUAGUAUUAAGAUGGUAUUUAACUCAUCCCCAGAGAGUGUUAGUUCAUAGAUAAUGAGAGAACAACAAGAGAAAUCCAAGUUCUAAACUCUGCCCUAUGGCACUCUGAUCCUUAGAGAUGGUUGAGAUGAAAAGGAACCAACAAAGAAACCGAGAACAAGAGUAGCUAGAGUAGCUAGCAAGGUAGAAGGAGAACUAGAGUAUGACACCUAGAGAUGAGUCACAAAGGAAAAGACAUGAAGGAUAGCAGUAUCACAAAGCAAGGUUGAAGAAAAGGCCAGCAUCUGGGAUGCCAAUUUGAGCAGGACAUGGCAGUAAUUACUGGAGAUCCAAGUAAGGGGAUGAGUUAACAAAGGGCUAAAUUGGCAGGCAGCCUGACUGGGUCCAGAUGGGCAGAUGCGGCCACAUCAAAGAGACUCAUCAGUUUAGUCAGUGACCCAAAGCAAACUUAUAAGCCCAGGGCAUCUGAGUUCUAGAGGCUGGUGGUGAGAGAAGAGAGCAGAAGAACAGAAAUUAGCCCAAAAGAGGCUGGAAUUCAAGAACAAGAUUUCAUCUGCUGGUAGAACACCAAAAGCAGAGCCCGCCUGACAGUGCUGGACCAGGAGAUGUUGAAACAGAGCUUCCUCUAUGCAUUCCUAUUUAAGAACUGAAUCAACCUCUCAGAUUUAAAACCAUCAGAAAUAACUAAGUACUCACAAUAUGAAGAUGAGUAGUUAUACCUUGAUAACAAAUAAAAUCCAAACACUUGA